UUUUGAGUUUUCUCAUUUGUCAAAUUGCACCAUUAUAAAAAAAAACUCUUUUCAUCAUGCAUGUAGGUUUUCUAUAAAUGAUUCUUCUAUGACUCCAGGUGGACAUUUAUCACAUAGAUGACCCAUACUGAUCAGGGUUGAAAAUAUUUCAUAAAAGAGGGACGAAAGAUACCAAAGGGACAGUCAAACUCAUAAAUCCAAAACAACUGACAACGCCAUGGUUAAAAACGAAAAAAAACAAACAAACAACAGCACACACGACACAACAUAGAAAACCAAAGAAUAAACAACACGAACCCCA
rnacentral:lncRNA from 1 species